rnacentral:rRNA from 1 species
AACGAACGCUGGCGGCAUGCCUAACACAUGCCAGUCGAACGAGACCUUCGGGUCUAGUGGCGCACGGGUGCGUAACGCGUGGGAACCUGCCCUUAGGUUCGGAAUAACUCCCCGAAAGGGGUGCUAAUACCGGAUAAUGUCUUCGGACCAAAGAUUUAUCGCCUUUGGUUGGGCCCGCGUUGGAUUAGCUAGUUGGUAGGGUAAAAGCCUACCAAGGCGACGAUCCAUAGCUGGUCUGAGAGGAUGAUCAGCCACACUGGGACUGAGACACGGCCCAGACUCCUACGGGAGGCAGCAGUGGGGAAUAUUGGACAAUGGGCGGAGGCCUGAUGCAGCAAUGCCGCGUGAGUGAUGAAGGCAUUAGGGUUGUAAAGCUCUUUUACCCGGGAUGAUAAUGACAGUACCGGGAGAAUAAGCUCCGGCUAACUCCGUG